rnacentral:rRNA from 14 species
UGCAGCAUUCUGAACAGUCCUGGUCUCAUCUGAUCGCUGAACCUAAGGAGGGUGGUGCUUGGAUAGGAGAUCGCCUGGGAUACUCGGUGCUGCAG